AUUGAACGCUGGCGGCAGGCUUAACACAUGCAAGUCGAGCGAGCGGCGGACGGGUGAGUAAUGUAUGGGAAACUGACUGAUGGAGGGGGAUAACUACUGGAAACGGUAGCUAAUACCGCAUAACAUCAGAUAUGACCAGAUGGGAGUAGAGAGUAGGUGGGGUAAUGGCUCACCAAGGCGACGAUCCCUAGCUGGGCUGAGAGGAUGACCAUCCAAACUGGAACUGCGACACGGUCCAGACUCCGACGGGAGGCAGCAGUGGGGAAGAGUGGACAAUGGGCGAAAUCCUGAUGCAGCCAUGCCGCGUGUGUGAAGAAGGCCUUCGGGUGGUAAAGCACUUUCAGCGAGGAGGCGUUACUCGCAGAAGAAGCACCGGCUAACUCCGUGCCAGCAGCCGCGGUAAUUC
rnacentral:rRNA from 1 species